GACGAACGCUGGCGGCGUGCUUAACACAUGCAAGUCGAACGGAAAGGCCAGUGCUUGCACUGGUACUCGAGUGCGAACGGGUGAGUAACACGUGGGUGAUCUGCCUUUCACUCUGGGAUAAGCUUGGGAAACUGGGUCUAAUACCGGAUAUGAACUGCCUUUAGUGUGGUGGUUGGAAAGUUUUUUCGGUGCAAGAUGAGCUCGCGGCCUAUCAGCUUGUUGGUGGGGUAAUGGCCUACCAAGGCGUCGACGGGUAGCCGGCCUGAGAGGGUGUACGGCCACAUUGGGACUGAGAUACGGACCAGACUCCUACGGGAGGCAGCAGUGGGGAAUAUUGCACAAUGGGCGGAAGCCUGAUGCAGCGACGCCGCGUGGGGGAUGACGGCCUUCGGGUUGUAAACUCCUUUCGACAGGGACGAAGCGUAAGUGACGGUACCUGUAUAAGAAGCACCGGCUAACUACGUG
rnacentral:rRNA from 1 species